rnacentral:lncRNA from 1 species
CCGGGGGUUAUUUUUGGUUUGCGUGUGGUGGUGGCUGGGGGUGUCGCAUCUGGGUUUUUCUCUUCCCCUGGCAGAUGGGGCGCCGGCCCUUCCCCCCUCGCCAGGAGAGGGAGCAGACUGCUGGGUCAGGAAUCCAGGGGGGUGACUCAGCACCCAUGGGUGCUGGGGACCUUGCGCUGGGAAACCCUGCUUGUGUUGGGGAUCGGGGGCUCUGUAGGAGGGGCUGGUCCAGGCAGCCCGGUCAGGGCCAGUGCUUUGGUCCCAGCAGCUGCGGCGGCACCAGACGCUUCUUCCAUAUUGCUACAGCCUAAGCAGGCAGGGCCUCAUCCUUUACUGACCAGGAUGGCGGUACUCCACAGGCCUCUCGGCGACACGGCCCUCCACCCCUGUGUCCAGGUGACCUGGCUUUGCCCACCUCCCUGGUUUCCUCACUGGGUCUGGCUGGGGUCAGCUGAAGCCAGAGUGGAGGCUCCAAAGCUUCCCUCUACUGACCAUGUCCGCGGCCUGUGCAGCCACUGCCCUUGCUUGUGACCUUGGGAGCUAACAGGUGACCAGAGAGGGAGGGAAUCCAGAAGGCUAUGAGAGGUGAGUGAAGGCCUCUGGAAGAUGAGAAGUAGACAAGGCCUGAGUGACAGGUGGCAGGGCAGGAGACAGCAUGGCAGAGGUCGAGAGAAACCAGCUUGAAGUCACAGGACUGUGUUCCUCCCAUCCUGGCCCUGGGAACCUAGGGACCCUGGACAAGGGACAGGUAUUGGUUGGCUUCAGAGGAUGAGCUGGACCCUCGGAGGGACACCUUGUCCCAUUG